AAGAAAGUUUGACGAGAAGUAAAGUUGCGUGUUUUUUUAAGUUACAUUAUAAAGUGAUGAUUAUAAUUUUAUAAAUAAUAGUUCUUAGGGACUAGAUUCCAAGUUCUUCUGUUCUUGCACUUCACAUAUAUAACCUAAGAAACCUAGUCCUCGCCGCAAUUUAAACUAGAUCAGUUUUCUACUUCCUUUCGCACCAGAGAAAAGGGGAAAUCUUGCGAUUUCUUUUUCCUGGGGUGGAAUCCAAUCGCGUCUUGUGUCUAAUGGUUACAGGCAAUAUUGGCUAUCUGUGCUGUAGAUUUUUACAGAAACAUCAAAACUUUUUUUAUGAUUUUUAAGUUUAUGAUAUGUUGAUUUGUAUACCUUUUUGCGCACUCUGUCUCUGAAGUAAUGGCUUGCUUCCCUAUGAAGAAUGAUAUUUGUAUGUUAAAUAAAAGUAGUGGGCUGAUCUCCAUUGAUGACUGACCAAUUCUGAGGGAUGUACUUUUUGCUUAUGAGAUUUCUGUUUUAUUUUGGCUUAUUGGUUUCAUGGGUUUUUCGAAUUCAAUAGAAAGAUCUUUUUUCUUAAAUGUUAUUGGAAAUCCCAUCUUAAAUUUUAUGUUUCUUUGUUGGUACUCGGAUCUUCACUGCAUAACAAUGAAGUGCAUUUGUGAAUCUUUAAUCCUGUGUUUACAUUCUUCCAAUCAAUAGGUUAUGCAACUACAUAAAAUAAGUUUGAUGGAUAAUUAAAUUUCUGGGUGGGUUUAUUUUGUUUUGUCUAUGAAGUUCCGAUCUCAAAAAUGCCUUUCUAGAGUUUGUUAUUGCAACACACGAAAAUGUUUUCACAUCCUGUAUAUUUCGUAGAAGGAUUUGGUAGUCCAGACAUAUAUAUAUAAUGUUUCCACCUUUGCUUUUAAAAUUGAAAUAAAAUCCGCCCAUUCCUUACUUGCCCCUUGAAGUUUAUUUUGCACCUCUAUGACGAUUGCUUGAUAAUUAAAAGUAGUGGACUGAUCAUUGAUGAUUAAUCUAUUCCGAGGAAUGCAAACGGCUGCUUAAUCUGAGUUCAUGACGUUUUUGCUCAAAGUUGAAUUGUCCUUUGUUUGUUGUAUGGUUGGAAAUGUGCACUUGAAAGUUAUGCUUUGUUGCACUCUAUCGGUGGUGGACAUAUACGGUCCUGAAAAGGGAAGUUGAAUGUAUAACUCUCUGUGUUGCGAACUUCAUUGGUGCGAUUCAUCAAGUCUCAUCCAUAUUUCUACCAGUCAUGUCUUUAUCUACUCAGAUAUAAAUCAAAUGAGGAAUUUGGGUUUUAGAUUUCUCACGAUGGUCAUCUGAGACAAUUUACUAUUGUCGAAGCUGAUUCCAUAAUUCAAUGCUUCUGAUGAUUUUAUUUGUGUUUGAAGAGCUGACUUGUCCAGAAAGAGAUACUAGCAAUGAUAUUUAUAUUAUAGCAAACUGUAGUUCUGUAAGUUGGUAUCCGCAUCAACUUCUCCAUCAUUCCAACUGAAAUUAUACUAUUUUACAUGGCAAUGCCGUGCAUAUUUAUACUCGCAUUUCCACUUUCCUUGUUAGGAUCAAGGAUAGGCUUCUUUGUAACUGGCUCAAGUUUAAGUUAUUGUGCAGUAUUAAUUUAUUGAUUACUAGUCUAUUCUGAGGGAUUCAAAUGAUUCUUUAAGUUGAGCUCGUGACUUUUUUUUUUUUGCUAAAAGUUGAAACUGUCCUUUGUUUGAUAUAAUUGAUUCUUUUUCCCUUUAGGUCUAUGGUUGGAAAUGUGGACUUGGAAUGUUAUGCCUGUUUUGCAAUCUACCAUUGAUGGACGUAGUCCUGAAUAGGGAAAUAGAUUUUAUAACUCUCUAUGUUUGCAAACUUUAUCUAUUUGCUUUAUUUAAGUCUCAUCCAUAUUUUGACUGGUUAGUCAGAUUUAAAUCAAAUGAGGAAUUUGGAUUAUAUACAUCUUAUGACGAUCGCCUGAUCGCCUGAGACACUAUGCUAGUGUUGAGCUGAUCCCAUAAUCCAAUGCUUCUGAUGAUUUCAUAUGUUUUUGAAGAAGUGACUUGUUCAAAACAUUUACUAGUAAUGGUAUUCAUAGCAAAAAGGUGUAGUUCUUUAAAUUGGUUUUAAUAGUAACUUCUCCAUCAUUUCAACUGAUUUUUUUUAUUAUUUUACAUGGCAAUGCUGUGCAGAUUUUCUACAACUAUUAAUUUAUACAUGCAUGUCGCAUCUGCUUGCUGAGAUGUGGCUGAAGUCGAAGUUAUUGUGCAGUAUUAAUGCAUUUAUGAUUAAUAUAUUCUGAGGUAUGCAAAUGGUUCUUCAAAUUUUUUCCUCAACGUUGAAUUGUCCUGGUUUUGUUGUAAUUGAUUCUUCUUCACUUAAGAUCUGUGGUUGGAUGUGUACUUGCAAGUUAUGCCUGUUUUACAAUCUACUAAUGAGGGAUAUAGUCCUGAGUAGGGAAUUCGAUUCUCUAACUCUCUAUGUUUGCAAACUUUAUCUAGUUCCUUCGUUUAAGGUUCGUCUGUAUUUUGACCAAUAAUGGUUUGUUAUCCACUCGUCAAAUGAGGAAUUUGGAUAUUACUUCUCACGACGGUCGUCUGAGAUACUAUGCUAGUGUUGAAGUUGACAUAAUCCAAUGCUUCUGAUGAUUUCAUUUGUGUUUGAAGAAUUGACUUAUUCAAAAAGAGAUGCUAGUUAUAAUAUUCAUUGAAAAUUUUUUAAGCUCUUCGAGUUUAUUCGGAAACCAAUUUCUCCAUCAUUCCAAAUGAGUUCUUAUAAUUUUACAUAGCAAUGCUAUGCAAAUUCUCUGCAACUAUUAAUUUAUACAUGCAUUUCCACAUUUGUUUGCUAGGAUCAAUGAUUAGCUUCUCUAUCACUGGCUUAAGCUGAAGUUGUUGUGCAGUAACUGAUCCAUGUUAGGAGGAGGUUUGCUCAAAAGUUCUCCUUUUCUUUUCAAAUUGCAUGUGGUUUGAAGCUCGAAUCAGGGGUACUGAGAUUGGUGAUACGUCUGGGUCUAACUGCUACAUGCACCAAGUUCAUUAUGCAUGUUUUUGUUUUGGUUGGCUACCUUUGAGGAAUGUUAGAGAGGAGUUUUAGUGCGGUAGCGCUCACAAAUGUUUUUUCUAGGAAUCACUGAUGAACUUUAUAUGCUCUAAAAGUUACUGAUAGCUGACCCGUACUUUUACUGUAUAUAAGAUUUUACUUUUUUCCCAUUACAUUAACCAGAUUGUACCCUUCCUUGCAAUCUCGAAAGUACAAUAUUACUAUUGCCGGGUGGCUUCUAAUAGUGGAGAGUGGAGCUGGAUUCCCCUGCGUCCCUGGAACAAGAAAAGCAAGGGAUGGUUUCCAUUUAUGAAGCAAGGCAUGAAAAAAGGGUAUCUGUUAAAGAUGGGAAACACGAAUUUAGGUUUGCAAGAUUCCUGAAACCAUGUGCAGAAAACGUAGUCCAUGGAGUCAAUGUUCCAAACACUCCUUUGUUGUCUGAAAUUUUCUCUCACAGUAGCAUGGAAUGGCCAGCAAAAGUUAUUUCUAAAACUUGGGCAAGACCCCGGAAGAAUGGGUAGAUAGAUUGGCAGGAAAGUAUGGAGCCAUUUGGAAUCAAAGUAGAAUUCGUGAUCUGUAUCAGCAGAUAAAGAUCACUGACUUAUCUUGUUAGUUAUGUGUAUUUUUAUCUUUAUCUUAUUGUUAUAAUUUGUUACAUCUUUGUAUUACUCUAUAUAAGAACGGUGUAUUCUUGAUAAUGAGAUAUAUUCAGCCAUUGCUUUCUAUCUCUGACUUAGUAUCAGAGUCAACUCUGAAAGUCUUUUUUUUUUUUUCACGAUGACAACAUCCUAUUCUUCUCAAACUCAAUCUCAAUCUUCUGCAAUCACUCCAACUCUUCCAAAUCCUUCCUUACCAUCAAAUUCUACACAAUUGAAUCAAACUUUUUCCAUCAAACUUGCUUCAAAAAAUUAUGUUCCUUGAAAAUUGUAAUUUACUUUAUUGUUCAAUUUCUAUAAUCUUCAUGGAAUACUUGACGGUACCGAACCUACACCACCCAAAGAAAUUGUCAACUCCUCAAACAAUAAAACUGAAAUCAAUCCACCAUAUAUUGCUCGGUUUAAUAAGGAUCAAAUUUUAUUCUCAUGGCAGUUAUCAUCUAUUACAGAGGAAAUAUACCCUCAUUUGAUUGGCUUGAAGACGUCAGCUGAACUUUGGGCUGCGUUAGCAUCAGCAUAUGGAGUUGUGAGUAAUACUCAAUGAACUCAACUUCACAUCGAGCUCCACAACCUAUCAAAGGAUGACAAAUCUGUUUCAGAAUAUCUCACUCUAACCAUUGUCUUGUGAAAGAUCAGAUUACCAAGAAAACAAUGCCGCAAGGAACAAGUGGGUUGGGACUUUAUAAACUUAGCAAAGGAUUACAACAGCAGAAGAAUUUGAAUGCCGCCGCUUUUUUAGUCUAAGUUGGAGGAUUGGCAUGCUCGUCUUAGCCAUCCCAAUUUUCAAACUGUUCGUAGUUUAGUCAAAAAAUUUCAAUUACCAUGUUCUUCUUUUCGUCUUCCGUUCAAUAAGUGUGAGGCAUGUUGUUUAGGCAAAAUGUCUCGGUCUUCCUUAUUUUUAACGUAUCAUCGUAGUUCUAAUCCGUUAGAAUUAAUUCAUUCUGAUGUUUGAAUUAUUCAUCGUAUUACCUGUCCUCGUACUCAUGAACAGAAUGGCACGGCUGAAAGAGAAAUUUGUAACAUCGUUGAUAUUGGUCUUGCUCUAUUAGGUCAUUGCAGUGCACCUUUUAAAUAUUAGUAUUUUGCUUUUGAAACUGCUGCUUUUCUUAUUAAUCUUAUGCCAUCAAAUUCAUUAUUAAAUAAAAUACCGUUUCAAGUCUUA